GGAGGAGGGAAGGAAGAAGAGAGAAAUAAGAGGAAGGCAGGGAGGCCGGCAACCAGGGGUUGGCAAGAACACCCUGCUUCAGGUCAGGCAGCAUGCGACGGCACCGGCAAUUGCACACCGGUGAAGAACGUUGAUGAGCUUUCCUUUGCGCCAGUGCUUGGCAGGAGGUGCAGCAUUCAGCUAAUGCAAGCAUGAGUGGCGUCAACACAAGUUUAUUCCAGAGACUGCAGGCCAUGGACAGGCGCAUCUACAGGUCUAUGCUUCUGGACUUCUUUCGGACAGGACCCUGGACAACCUGGACCACUUCUCCAGGCCAGACGGACCAAAAUGCUGCUAUCAAAGAAUGUCAGCUGACCCCGGCCAUUUCCCCAGUUCCUGGGUGGAUGCUGUGGUAGUUUUGAGAACAGAACUCAGCCCAGUCACACUUUCCCAGGGAACUGUAAGGACGAGCUAUAAAUGGGUAACACUGAAAAGUCUGGAGCUCCAUCAAUUGAUGGUGAGACCUUCCAGAGGGAGGACAAGCUUGAUCUCAAUGGUUUAGAACAUGUACUGCAAUUUAAUGGCUUACAGAUAAUAAUUUAAGCGAACUUGUGCACAGUUAUCUGUAACAUGAAGGGAAGUUCCUAAGGCACCCUGCAGUUCUACGACUCGGUCAUUAUAGUAUUCUAAGCAUGUGUAAUAAACCAAAACCAAACUGCCACCGCGUCCAUUCCAACUCACGAUGGGAGUAGGCAGCCUCAU